UACGUAGGGGGCAAGCGUUGUCCGGAAUCAUUGGGCGUAAAGCGCGUGUAGGCGGUCCGGUUAGUCGGCUGUGAAAGUCAAGGGCUCAACCCUUGAAUGCCGGUCGAUACUGCCGGACUAGAGUCCGGAAGAGGCAAGUGGAAUUCCCGGUGUAGCGGUGAAAUGCGCAGAUAUCAGGAAGAACACCCGUGGCGAAGGCGGCUCUCUGGGACGGUACUGACACUGAGACGCGAAAGCGUGGGGAGCGAACAGG
rnacentral:rRNA from 1 species